rnacentral:rRNA from 1 species
GAGUUUGAUCGUGGCUCAGAUUGAACGCUGGCGGCAGGCCUAACACAUGCAAGUCGGGCGGUAGAGAGAAGCUUGCUUCUCUUGAGAGCGGCGGACGGGUGAGUAAUGCCUAGGAAUCUGCCUGGUAGUGGGGGAUAACGCUCGGAAACGGACGCUAAUACCGCAUACGUCCUACGGGAGAAAGCAGGGGACCUUCGGGCCUUGCGCUAUCAGAUGAGCCUAGGUCGGAUUAGCUAGUUGGUGAGGUAAUGGCCCACCAAGGCGACGAUCCGUAACUGGUCUGAGAGGAUGAUCAGUCACACUGGAGCUGAGACACGGUCCAGACUCCUACGGGAGGCAGCAGUGGGGAAUAUUGGACAAUGGGCGAAAGCCUGAUCCAGCCAUGCCGCGUGUGUGAAGAAGGUCUUCGGAUUGUAAAGCACUUUAAGUUGGGAGGAAGGGCAGUAAGUUAAUACUUUGCUGUUUUGACGUUACCGACAGAAUAAGCACCGGCUAACUCUGUGCCAGCCGCCG